rnacentral:rRNA from 1 species
UACGUCGGGUGCGAGCGUUGUCCGGAAUUAUUGGGCGUAAAGGGCUCGUAGGCGGUUUGUCGCGUCGGGAGUGAAAACCCAGGGCUUAACCCUGGGCUGGCUUCCGAUACGGGCAGACUAGAGGUAUGCAGGGGAGAACGGAAUUCCUGGUGUAGCGGUGAAAUGCGCAGAUAUCAGGAGGAACACCGGUGGCGAAGGCGGUUCUCUGGGCAUUACCUGACGCUGAGGAGCGAAAGUGUGGGGAGCGAACAGG